rnacentral:rRNA from 1 species
UGGAUCCAGACUUUGAUUAUGGCUCAGGAUGAACGCUAGCUACAGGCUUAACACAUGCAAGUCGAGGGGAAACGACAUCGAAAGCUUGCUUUUGAUGGGCGUCGACCGGCGCACGGGUGAGUAACGCGUAUCCAACCUGCCCACCACUUGGGGAUAACCUUGCGAAAGUAAGACUAAUACCCAAUGACGUCUCUAGAAGACAUCUGAAAGAGAUUAAAGAUUUAUCGGUGAUGGAUGGGGAUGCGUCUGAUUAGCUUGUUGGCGGGGUAACGGCCCACCAAGGCGACGAUCAGUAGGGGUUCUGAGAGGAAGGUCCCCCACAUUGGAACUGAGACACGGUCCAAACUCCUACGGGAGGCAGCAGUGAGGAAUAUUGGUCAAUGGACGAGAGUCUGAACCAGCCAAGUAGCGUGCAGGAAGACGGCCCUAUGGGUUGUAAACUGCUUUUAUAAGGGAAUAAAGUGAGAGUCGUGACUCUUUUUGCAUGUACCUUAUGAAUAAGGACCGGCUAAUUCCGUGCCAGCAGCCGCGGUAAUACGGAAGGUCCGGGCGUUAUCCGGAUUUAUUGGGUUUAAAGGGAGCGUAGGCCGGAGAUUAAGCGUGUUGUGAAAUGUAGGCGCUCAACGUCUGCACUGCAGCGCGAACUGGUUUCCUUGAGUACGCACAAAGUGGGCGGAAUUCGUGGUGUAGCGGUGAAAUGCUUAGAUAUCACGAAGAACUCCGAUUGCGAAGGCAGCUCACUGGAGCGCAACUGACGCUGAAGCUCGAAAGUGCGGGUAUCGAACAGGAUUAGAUACCCUGGUAGUCCGCACGGUAAACGAUGGAUGCCCGCUGUUGGUCUGAAUAGGUCAGCGGCCAAGCGAAAGCAUUAAGCAUCCCACCUGGGGAGUACGCCGGCAACGGUGCAACUCAAAGGAAUUGACGGA